AGUCUUAUGCCCGUUUUCACCAACAACCUCUUACCGUUUCCCUAUCUAAAUGCUACUUUUAAUAAAGACCCCUCCCAAUUUGACACCUACCUAAAUUCAUUUUCACCACACUUGUACAUGGAUCCCUUAAAGAAGAGAAAACGAGGAUAAACCUUUCUUGCAGAAGAAAAAGACAAGCUAGUGAAAUUGCUGACGUCUCAUAGAGACACAAUAUUAAACAAAAAACGGAUGGGACCACGAACGAAGCCAAAAACAAAGCUUGGAUCCAGUCACAAAUACAUAGUUUUAAUGCGACAGGAACCCUUUACAGGUAAAUGUGAAUAAUAUCUGUGUAUAAUAAUAUAGUGUAUUAAGAUAUUGCCGUACAACUGUGUUCCUUGUUUUACUGUCGGCUUCAUUGUAUUUUUGUUCUCCAUGAGUUGAUGGAUUUAAGUAUGGGGUUAAAAUUAUAUAUUUAUUUAGUUUCAGGUGGUGCGAGAAAUUGGAAAGACGUGUAAAAACAUGCUGCGCCCAGUCCACCUCAAAUUGAAUUGGUGCAGGAGGAUGAUGAUAAUGUUUGGUACAUCAUAUGAGGACUAAUAUUAAAAUAUUUGUUUAC
rnacentral:lncRNA from 1 species